AAUAUACUGUAAGUAUGUGCCAUUGCCAUAUAAGCAGUUAGCCUGCGUGCGACAGGUGGCGUACUUAAUGUAGCCAGCUACGGCAAAUAAUUUCCCAACAACUAAUAAUAAUCGAAAAACCUCUAGAAAAAAUCAACGUGCUCCAUACGGUUUAUUAUUUAAACAAUCUACAAUGUCAUAAAUUACACAAAUUUAUUGUAUAUAUCUAACGAUAUAGUAUAUAUCAGUAGCCUUCUAUUCUAUUUUCAGAUGAUUCUAAUUCUCUUAGCUCGUCAUAAGAAGCGUCUAGAGAUUUUGCUGAGGUGGUUAUGUAUCUUGUGUGUAUUAUGAUAUUCAAUCCUAUAGUAAUCUUAAAUUCAAUUUUGGUGAGGUGGCGGUAAAAUAUAGAUCAACAUAUCUGGCAACCUGGCGUAUGACGAUUGACGCUAGAAGUAAGUCGUACUCGGAAAAACACACACUUAGUCUAGGACUAGAAGUACUAAAAAUACUAGUCCCACGAGUAUUUAGAUGUGAGCGUCUGUGUCACCAAAAUAUAGGUAUUAGGUACAGGCCCACAAAGUUAUCUGACCCGGUGGCGAAAACAGGAACUAAAGUCGCCAUCUCGAAUACGUCAUUCUGUAUGUCAUUGCAAAGCAGAGCGCAACGCCGUGUGUUUUUUGCUUAGUUUGUGAUAAAAGUGAUAGAAAAAAUGCCGAAAGCAUUAAGUAGUGACGCGAGAAUUAUGAUUUUAAAAGUGUUGGCCUUUAUGAAGGAAGAGAAACGUCUCCAAGCCCCAAUAAUACCAUUUGAAAAAUUAUAUGAACGAAUAACUACUGCCACAGGUGUUGGUGAGCGAAUCGUGCGCAAAUUAGUCAAUAGAACUUAUUAUUAGAAAAGGUGAUAUGCAAAAGUGCCUCACUGAAAACAAUGUGAAAUACAAUGAGGGUUUCACAAAACCCCAGCUGUAUGAAUUAAUAAAGAGGCGCAAACCAGCAACAGAGUAUAAAAUCGAUAAUUUACUCAA